GCAAGCUCAGGAACUAAAAAGAUAGACCUUGAUUAGAUUCUACAAAGCCAACAGAGAACCUGGAUCUAAAAUUCUGUGUAUUUUCCAAUGCAGUUCAGAACUUUACUGGUGGAGUAGUGUAGAGAAUAUAACAGGAACUGUAUUUUAUAAGCUUCAAAUAAGCAUGGGAUGCGUUUGAAAAGCUGAAUAAGGGUUCCCCAAGAAGAAUAUUGCGAUAGGUAAUAUUUCUUAUAUCAAUCAACUGAUAUGAAAAUAAUGUUUAAAACGCUUAAAAAGCAAGGGCAUACCAUAACCAAUUAUUCAAGAAAUAAGAUACAAG